rnacentral:rRNA from 1 species
UACAGAGGGUGCGAGCGUUGUUCGGAAUUAUUGGGCGUAAAGGGCGCGUAGGCGGUGCGGUAAGUCACCUGUGAAAUCUCCUGGCUCAACUGGGAGCUUGCAGGCGAAACUGCCGUGCUGGAGUGUGGGAGAGGUGCGUGGAAUUCCUGGUGUAGCGGUGAAAUGCGUAGAUAUCAGGAGGAACACCAGAGGCGAAGGCGGCGACCUGGACAGGUACUGACACUCAACUACGAAAGCGUGGGGAGCAAACAGG